rnacentral:rRNA from 1 species
GUACACGCUGUGACUAGCAUAUCAAUAAGCGGAGGAAAAGAAACUAACAAGGAUUCCCUAGUAACGGCGAGUGAAGCGGGAAGAGCUCAAAUUUGAAAUCUUAAAGGGUUUCCCUUUACGAAUCGUAGUUUAAAGAAGUGUUUUCUGUUGAGGUUUUGGUAAAAGUUCUUUGGAAUAGGACAUCAUAGAGGGUGAGAAUCCCGUAUUUGACCUUUACUUUCAACUUUGUGAUACACUUUCAAAGAGUCGGAUUGUUUGGGAAUGCAGUCCAAAAUGGGUGGUAAAUUUCAUCUAAAGCUAAAUAUUGGCGAGAGACCGAUAGCGAACAAGUACCGUGAGGGAAAGAUGAAAAGAACUUUGAAAAGAGAGUUAAACAGUACGUGAAAUUUGUCAAAAGGGAAGCGUUUGACACCAGUGUUGUUUUUCUGAAAAUCAAUUAAAGAACUGUUUAUGCUAAGUUGUUUAGACUUUAUCAGCUAACUGUUUAGUUUUGAGCUUUUCUUUAAUGCACUUUUCAGUUAACAAGUCAACAUCAAUUUCUUUUGCUGUAAAAAAGCUUGAGGAAGGUGGCUUGAGAUUCGUCUUAAGUGUUUAUAGCCUCUUGCCUAUGCAGUCGGAGAGAUUGAGGUCUGCAGCGUAGAUCCUUCGGGGCUAAAUGCAUUUGUGCUAAGUUAUAGCAUUUUAUAGACAACUUGUUGACUAUGAUUUGUCUUGUAGCUUACUCGCUUAUGUUAUUUUACCUACGCUUAGGAUGUUGAGUCGUAGAGCACGCAG